rnacentral:rRNA from 1 species
AGAGUUUGAUCCUGGCUCAGGAUGAACGCUGGCGGCGUGCCUAACACAUGCAAGUCGAACGGGUGUCCGAUCUUCGGACUGGACACUUAGUGGCGGACGGGUGAGUAACGCGUGGGUAACUGCCUCAUACAGGGGGAUAGCAGUUGGAAACGACUGAUAAUACCGCAUAAGCGCACAGCACGCAUGGUGCAGUGUGAAAAACUCCGGUGGUAUGAGAUGGACCCGCGUCUGAUUAGCUUGUGGCGGGGUAACGGCCCACCAAGGCGACGAUCAGUAGCCGGCCUGAGAGGGUGAACGGCCCAUUGGGACUGAGACACGGCCCAAACUCCUACGGGAGGCAGCAGUGGGGAAUAUUGCACAUGGGGGAAACCCUGAUGCAGCGACGCCGCGUGAAGGAUGAAGUAUUUCGGUAUGUAAACUCUAUCAGCAGGGAAGAUGAUGACGGUACCUGACUAAGAAGCCCCGGCUAACUACGUGCCACAGCCGCGGUAAUACGUAGGGGGCAAGCGUUAUCCGGAUUUACUGGGUGUAAAGGGAGCGAGGCGGCGGGACAAGUCAGAAGUGAAAUCCCCGGGCUCACCCCGGGGGCUGCUUUUGAAAUGUUCUGCUAGAUUCCAGGAGAGGUAAGCGGAAUUCCUAGUGUAGCGGUGAAAUGCGUAGUAUUAGGAGGAACACCAGUGGCGA